rnacentral:rRNA from 1 species
CCCUUAGAUGUUCUGGGCUGCACGCGCGCUACACUGACGUACGCAACGAGUGUCCUUUACCGAGAGGUAUGGGUAAUCAUUUGAGUGUACGUCGUGAUGGGGAUAGAAUAUUGUAAUUAUUACUCUUCAACGAGGAAUUCCUAGUAAGCGCAAGUCAGCAGCUUGCGCUGAUUACGUCCCUGCCCCUUGUACACACCGCCCGUCGCUCCUACCGAUGGGUGAUCCGGUGAAUGAUUCGGACUCGGUUGCCUCUAGCCACUAGUGGCGCUCGAGAAAGUUUUGUGAACCUUAUCACUUGGAGGAAGGAGAAGUCGUAACA